GUCCAGCCCCGAUGGAAACGGCAUCCUUUUAUGGCAGGGUUUGCCAUAAAAGAUAUAGUGGACAGCGGGAGAAAUG
rfam:Flavobacteriaceae bacterium CRH Contig17, whole genome shotgun sequence.